UCACUUCUGGCAAGCGAAUGCAUACGAACACAGCCUUUAAGCGCUCGGCUAGAAACAUUUCGGAUCUCUGAUGCGUGACGUUACAAGAUUAGUUCUAACGUCUUCGCUACGUGGCGACACUUGUCUCGACGAGGAAUCCGAGCACGUAGUAGUACGACUCAAUGAUAGGUUAAACGAACUCUAUUAUUUUUCAGUGGUGCUACACCGUCCGACCAAGUUUACGAAAAGUGACUUGACUUCAUGUUAACAAACAGUACGUCACACCUACAUGCACGUGCGAGUUUCACGAAGUGCUUCGGACAAUUUUCAAGCCUCGGUCGCCGCAAACCGCAAGGUCGGACCGGCGGGACGUAUUUGCAAGUGUAUGCAGUACGCAGACUAUACUUUUUUACCCAACGUUCGAUCGAAGGAUACGGAGCAACCAGGCCAUUCGUCGCUUAUCCUGAAGGUCGACCCGCCCGAGGACCCUUCGAAAAGCUCCCCUGAAAAUUCGGGGCACAGUAAUUCAACCACGUCGACCACCGACCGAGAUAAGGUAGAAGAUCAAAUGGCCAAGGAGCCAAGUGAUCAAGAAUCGACGAUUGUAGCUGUUAACUCUUCUAAUAAAAUAAAUUGUGUGCUAGCUGCUUCGAAAUUUGGUAAUUCGUUCGGUGCGAAUGAAUCCUCAAAUACCUUAACUAGUAAAUCAAAGUCAUCUAUAUUAAGGCCGUCGCAAUUAAGCUCAGUUACCAAUAGUUCUUUAGUUGCUAACGACAAGACCGUUCUGCAACCAUCGAAAUUUAACAAUCCGUUCACAAAAGUCACCGACAAUUCUAUGGAAGAGGAGGAUAACACGUCCGCGACGCCGAGCAAUAAAGCUGAGACUAGCAAGGAUGUCAAGGAGGAGGAGAAGCCCGCGGAAGAGGCGAAGCCGAAAUUCCUGCCUCUGGAUAUAAGCACGAAGGAGAACGAGAACAAUGUAAAUAGCACUAUGGCACCUAGUGCCUCCACUCCUAGCUUUGUGUUCGGUCAGAAUUUGAAGGAACGUGUCACCGUUUCUACCGAUACGGAGAGUUCGGACAAUUCGGAGAAGGAAGAAGCGAAAAGUGACAUGAAAGAGGAGGCCAACGAGAACGGAUCGUCCGAACUUCUGUUCUCGAACGCAGCUGCGGUCUGCCGUGCCACUGUCAGGCCAGGUUUAACGUUAACCCAGGCGGCGCAAGCGCUGGAAGAGGCUAAUCGCGCCAACAAGAGAAAGUAUAAUCAAGUGACACUGCUGACCGGCGAGGAAGGGGAAACGAACGUCCUUCAGAUCAAUUGCAAGCUAUUUGCGUUUGAUAAGACUACCUGCAGUUGGCUGGAGAGAGGUAGGGGCACGUUGAGACUGAACGAUCUCGAGGAAGAGUCCCGUUUGGUCGGCCGUACCGCCGGCACACAGCGGGUGAUCCUGAACACGAAAGUAUGGCCGGGUAUGACCGCGGAGCGGGCCGGGCCCAAGUCCUUGAGGCUGACCGCGAUGGAGAUGGGCGACGUGCGAAUCGUAAUCGUUCAGGCGGCGCCCAAAGAAAUCGAUCAGCUGCACAUCCUCCUGCUGCAACGGCUGAAGCGCGCCCAGGAGCGUCCGACGACGAAGAGGCUGGCGACGGAACACUGACAACCGAUCGGCAACUUUGGCGGACGGGCGUUGACCGCUUGUCAACUUAAUUCAUGCAACAUAGAGGUCACUAACACAUGUAAAUAAAAUCCUCGCGCGGACUGAUGCGAUGGCGGAAGAGAGAGACUCGGCGACGCUUCCUUAUUUUGUGUCCUGCGCGCAUCACGGCUGAUCGGCUAUUCUUAAACCCGAAUCUCUGAUUUCACCCAGAGCACGAUGUUUACCUAACGAAGGCCCCUCGAUCCUCUUUCUGCACGUUGCAUAAGCCCCGGGCAUGCAAAGUCCGGAGGAAGUUUCACGCCGUUUCUGCAGUGCGAUCUUCAGCGAGAGAAACGAAUGGAAUCCUCGGUAGAGAGCGAGAGAGAGAGAGAGAGAGAGAGA